rnacentral:rRNA from 1 species
UGCUAAGGCCUCCACUCUGAAUGUGCCCAUCUCCUCUGAUCUUGGAAGCUAAGCAGAGGUGGGCCUGGUUAGUACCCGGAUGGGGGACUGCCUGGGAAUACCUGGUGCUUUAGGAU